rnacentral:miRNA from 1 species
UUAGGUUGGUGCAAAAGUAAUUGCGGAUUUUGCCGCUAAAAGUAACUGUAAAAACCGCAAUUACUUUUGCACC